rnacentral:lncRNA from 1 species
CAGACUGCAGAGGGCUCCUUUUGUUAGGAGCCAGUGAGACUGUUAUUUCUUAGGCAGAUGGCUUUUUAUUAAUAUGUGGCUUCUCAGACCCUUUGUGAAUUAAAAAGAAAAAAACUAAUCAGAAAUAAUGCUUGCGGAGAAGCAUGUUGAUUUUGCCUGAACUUAUUUCAGCCAAGCCAGCCUUUCUUAUUUACCAUUCUUCACUGCUGUUUGCAAAUGAACGAGAAACAGAGAAAUUCCAAUAGAAAGUCAGAAGGAAAAUGUUGGGUGGGUACAUGUGAGCACAGAAUGGUUAGUUGUGCAGAGAUGGCGCUUUGUUGUGGCUGUUGAAUUUGUGAGCAUGCACAAGGCCAGGUGGAGCCUGGGCACCCUGCAGGUCAGCUGUCUCAGCCUCCGUGCACUGUGCGAGAAUCCGUUUGAUGCGCUGGAUAAUGAGCUCUGACUGACUGAAGGGUUUGGUUUCCAUUGGGUCACGAGCCACCUGCUGGUUUCCUGUCCGUUCUCUCUUCUUGGAAGUUAAUUGACUUUCACGCAAGUGUUUGCAUCGUUGAUACCCACCGAGUGUUAAGAAUCACACAUGAGUUACUAACUCACACU